rnacentral:rRNA from 1 species
UACGGAGGGUGCAAGCGUUGUCCGGAAUCACUGGGCGUAAAGGGCGCGUAGGCGGCCUGGUAAGUAGGGGGUGAAAUCUUGCGGCUUAACCGCAGGGCUGCCUUCUAAACUGUCAGGCUUGAGCACGGUAGAGGCAGAUGGAAUUCCCGGUGUAGCGGUGGAAUGCGUAGAGAUCGGGAAGAACAUCAGUGGCGAAGGCGGUCUGCUGGGCCGUUGCUGACGCUGAGGCGCGACAGCGUGGGGAGCAAACAGG